CUUGCUCCCGGAUGUUAGCGGCGGACGGGUGAGUAACACGUGGGUAACCUGCCUGUAAGACUGGGAUAACUCCGGGAAACCGGAGCUAAUACCGGAUAGUUCCUUGAACCGCAUGGUUCAAGGAUGAAAGACGGUUUCGGCUGUCACUUACAGAUGGACCCGCGGCGCAUUAGCUAGUUGGUGGGGUAAUGGCUCACCAAGGCAACGAUGCGUAGCCGACCUGAGAGGGUGAUCGGCCACACUGGGACUGAGACACGGCCCAGACUCCUACGGGAGGCAGCAGUAGGGAAUCUUCCGCAAUGGACGAAAGUCUGACGGAGCAACGCCGCGUGAGUGAUGAAGGUUUUCGGAUCGUAAAGCUCUGUUGUUAGGGAAGAACAAGUGCGAGAGUAACUGCUCGCACCUUGACGGUACCUAACCAGAAAGCCACGGCUAACUACGUGCCAGCAGCCGCGGUAAUACGUAGGUGGCAAGCGUUGUCCGGAAUUAUUGGGCGUAAAGGGCUCGCAGGCGGUUUCUUAAGUCUGAUGUGAAAGCCCCCGGCUCAACCGGGGAGGGUCAUUGGAAACUGGGAAACUUGAGUGCAGAAGAGGAGAGUGGAAUUCCACGUGUAGCGGUGAAAUGCGUAGAGAUGUGGAGGAACACCAGUGGCGAAGGCGACUCUCUGGUCUGUAACUGACGCUGAGGAGCGAAAGCGUGGGGAGCGAACAGGAUUAGAUACCCUGGUAGUCCACGCCGUAAACGAUGAGUGCUAAG
rnacentral:rRNA from 1 species